AAUUUUAAAGGGAGAAAUCCCUAUUAUAU
rnacentral:guide_RNA from 1 species